UACGUAGGGUGCGAGCGUUGUCCGGAAUUACUGGGCGUAAAGAGCUCGUAGGUGGUUUGUCGCGUUGUUCGUGAAAACUCACAGCUUAACUGUGGGCGUGCGGGCGAUACGGGCAGACGUGGAGUACUGCAGGGGAGACUGGAAUUCCUGGUGUAGCGGUGAAAUGACGUCAGAUAUCAGGAGGAACACCGGUGGCGAAGGCGGGCA
rnacentral:rRNA from 1 species